rnacentral:tRNA from 1 species
GCGGCUGUGGCGAAACUGGCAGACGCGCUAGGUUGAGGGCCUAGUGGGGGCAACCCCUUGGAGGUUCAAAUCCUCUCAGCCGCA